GUCUUGAUGCACACCAAAUCCAAAUGCUCGUAGCUUUCCAUGGAAAUUUAGAUGCUUCCAUCCUCAAAUGGCCACUGAAGAAAUCUGGCUCUACACGAACCAAGUCGUCAUCGCCUCUGAAUCCUCGUAUGGAGCUUCUUCCCAGACCAACAUGGAAACUACAACUCGGCGAAGAACAAUGGCUUCAACAUUCUUUAUCCGAUUUCAAAUCGUAAUGGCAUGCGCGAAAUUGCCGAGGGAAAAUGAAGCAUGGAUCACAAUUGAAUGGAAUUCUACGUGCAGAAUCAAAGAGAAGCAGAACUGAAGAGAAGCGAAGUGAGAAAGACUAACCGAAAUGCGACGUAAACAAAGUUGUUGUUGCGGUUGCCGAGUGGAGGUUGAAGAUCUACGGAUCUUUGCAGAUUACGGCACUGCAAAUUCUCUGGGUGAAGAAUGGUGUAUCAAGAAGACGAAGGUGAAGCGGAAAGAAAGUGAAGCAGAAAGAAGGUCUGAAUUGCAAAAUGAAGAAUCUUCUUCAUAAUUGCAGUGAGGAAGCUGUUGAAGGUGUAAUCCCCAUGCUAUUGUAGCCACAACUGUAGUGUAUUCUUCCUCUUCUACAACAUAUUCAUCAGCUGUUAAUUAUCAUUGAUCAGUAAUGCAUAAUAACACUGAAUUGUUUACAAGAUUGCACGCAGCAACAAGAAAACCCAGACUAAAUUGUGCAAGCAAAUAGUAUGCCGGGAUAGGGUAAUGCUACAAGCCUCUAGUUUCCCAUAUUUUCAUAUCCUACAACUUUGGUGAUUUAUUAUUGGAGACAGUAAGUACUACGUUGAAGAUAUAUGUGCUAGCUGUCAGAAGAAGAGUGAAAACAAGAAGCAUGCCAUUCAGCUGCUGCAAUCGAAACAUGGAAGGGAAUGUUAGUUAUAAAGUUAAUUAGUUUCUCAUGGACUUUGAACUUUCUGUUUUUUUCAAUGAACUCUGCAUGUCGGAUGUUAACUUGGAGUAUCCAUUCAGUAAUGAGAAUUAUGCAGGAUGCACUGCCUAAGUUGAAGACCUGUACUGAACCGGAGCGGUUACCAUAGUUAGUCCACUCGUUGGCUUGUAUUUCUUGUUAUUUUUCAGUUGGCAUGUUUUAAUGACGUCCAUGUGUAAUUGUUAGAAUCAACUAAGGGGUUACUUAAGAUUUUUUUCUUCAAAAUAA